rnacentral:rRNA from 1 species
GACAGAGGGUGCAAACGUUGUUCGGAAUUACUGGGCGUAAAGCGCGUGUAGGCGGUCUCGCAAGUCGGAUGUGAAAGCCCAGGGCUCAACCCUGGAAGUGCACUCGAUACUGCGAGGCUAGAGUCCCGGAGAGGAUGGUGGAACUCUCGGUGUAGAGGUGAAAUGCGUAGAGAUCGGGAAGAACAUCAGUCGCGAAGGCGGCCUGCUGGGCUGUUGCUGACGCUGAGGCGCGACAGCGUGGGGAGCAAACAGG